GCGUUUGUUGUCGGUUCGAGGCGCGGGUCUUAGGCCCUCUCUCUGCGCUCUCGGUGACUGUCACCCUCCCUCUCUGCACAGACAGCCUCGAGCCCCAGUCUCGGGAGGGCGUGGCCACCUGUAGGGCGGGCUCCCAAUCUCGUCCCUGCUCGACCCUGGGACGGGCAGCCUGGUGCUAGGGAAGGGCAGGGCGGUGGCCAGGACUGUGCGGAGCCCAGCUGGGCCGGGAGACAGGCUAAAGCCGCCUCAGCCUCAGGCAGCCAGCGCCAGCCACGUGGCCACAGGCCUGCGUACGGAGCUGCAGCUGGGCACAGGCCGCCGCGGGAGGCUGAGAUGCCCCAGGCGGCUCGGGGCGGGCAGGGGGGAGAGGAGCGGGAGUUUUGAGAGCCGAGGUUUGGCUGGACCGAUGCGCGGGUCGCCGAGCUGACGGCCCCUCCCUCCAGCGUCUUCUCCUGAGCUUUCCUUGCCCUCUGCCUGGCGGCCCCCGCUGUGGGGCCCCCCGGUGCUUCACCGUUUCUCUCUCCCUCCUUCUACCGGCCGAAGCUGUGCUUCCUUUAAGCCAACUCAGUCCCUCCAGGAAGCCCCAGGUGCUGUGUUCCUCGACCUUCGUGUCCAGGGUUCCCAGACUCACUGCUGGCAUCUGGAGACGGAUGUGGGCUCUGCGGCCGUGGCUCAGUGGUUUGACCCGGUGUCUCAGUCUCUUCCUCUGGGAAAUGGGGACGGCAGAGCCCUCACGGCAGAUGGAGGGCGGCUGUCUCUGAGCUGCUCCCCGCGAUCCGUGAGUGCGGUGAAGGUCACUGCGCUGCCCCCGCCCCAGGGAAGCCGGCCAGCACCCUGCGCUCCCGCUGGGCCAAGCCUCGGGCUGAGGGGUUCAGUGUGGAGCCCGCCUCCCCUCAUCUGUAGCCUCCUGCAGCAUGAUGUCGCUCCAGUGCUGGCGCCUCGUUCCUUCUCUAAAGCUGAAGCCGGUCCCGACUGCAGCGCGGGCGACUGCGCUCCUCGCGAGAUCCGUGCGCCCCGCUUCACUGCCUUCUCACUUCCUGCCCCACUCAGUCCUCCGAGGGAGGGCGCCCCUCUCACGGCUCGGCCGGCCGUCACCUCCCUGGCCUCCACCUGGGCGGGCACUGGGUCUGCACUUUGUCGCUGAGAGCUCAAAGACGAGAACCUGAUCCCUGGCCCAGUGGAGCCUGGAUCAGACCACAGGCGGGCUCACGCCAGGUCUGCUUUCAUUUCCAGGACUCACCGCGCCUCGCAGCCCCAGGGCCUUGCGGAACUCUGAGCAGCGCUUCAUCUGCUGUUGGUUCCGACCCUCGGGGAACUCUGCUGAAGGGGGUCCGUGAGCAGCUGCUGAUGACACAAAGCCGGGGUGCGGGUCCUCUGAGCGGGCCACGCCUUCGCGGUCCCCACCUGUAUCCAGGACCUCAGCGUCCGGCCGCUUCUCGUGAGGGACUGGCUUCCCUCUGUGUGCCCUCUCCUUCCCCCAGCCGGACAGCUGCUACCAAGGUCCGGGCGGACUCCUUAUUUCAAGGAACCUGGAUUUACAGCAUUUUGAACCGGGUCGUGAUCUCAGGGCAACCCUUCUCCAUACUGGAAUUUUACAUGGAUUAAGCGAUCAGACCAUAUCCUAGGAGUUGGACUAGGGAGAACGGUCAUGUUUCAGUUCUCAACAAACUCUGUCUCCAUGAGACGUCACGGUACCAGUCCUCAAAAGCAUGCUGAGCAGGUUUCCCAGGACAGAACAGCGCAAACAACCCAGAAGACGCGUGUAGGGCGAGUGCUGCCACAGGACGCAGUACCUGGAGCCAGCAGAAGGAGUUCAAGCCUGGACUUGGCCACGCUACAAUGGCAGUGCGACGCUGGGUACACCCAGGAGCAUCCUCUGUGCCUCAGUCUACUCAUUCCUAAGCGAGGAUGAUAUUAGUACCUAGCUUGUGGGGUUUGUCCUGAGCAUCUCACUGCAGGAGUUAACGCUUUACUGCUAUUAAAAUAGUGUCUAGACCAUAGAAAGUUCUAUUU
rnacentral:lncRNA from 1 species